GGAUGUGAGGGCGAUUUGGCUGUGACAUCUGUCACCCCAUCGAUUACCAGGGUUGAUUAGGCUAGUUGGAUGUCCCCUUCCUCCCUCGCAACUCCAUGUGCUUUCCAGGUCAUGUGGCCAGCAGGACUAACCCGCUUCUGGUGCAACAGAACACCAU